UCCCCCUACUGGAAGCACAAAGGAGAUUUUUCUCCAGUAUAUACUGUGGGAGUCUGGUUGAGCUCCUGGAGGUGAAUCUCACAGUAUUGUUGGGUUGGGGAGGUCCCCCUUUGAUUGAGUCCACCUGGGGAGUUUUUAACUCUUAGCGUUGUCCUCAUUGAGCCUCCAACAAUUCAUCAACUUUAGUUCUGGGUUUUCUUCCCGGCGCUGGUUCCUGCAGUGGUAUCGGCUCCUGAUUCUCUGCUCAGAAUCUCCGAAACUUGAAAAUACCAAUUGAGAACUGAAAAUCUGAAGAUUUAUAGAGGAAGAAGAUUGGCCCUGAGCUAUCAUCCAUGCCCAUCUUCCUCUAUUUUAUAUGUGGGACUCCUGCCAUAGCAUUGUUUGGUAAGCGGUGCAUAGGUCCAUACCUGGGAUCCAAACCGGUGAACUUCAGGCCUCCGAAGCAGAGUACAAGAACUUAACCUCUAUGCCACCAGUAAGGAAGAAGCUCUAAGUCUUGAAGACUAAGAAUUAUGAGAAUUUGGAGCAACUUCCCUCAAGACAGGAACAUUUCAUGCAAGACAGAGAAGGACAUAGGAUUCAGAAUCUGACCAGAAGUGCAGACCCCUGCCUGUGUCCCACAAUUGCUACAGAUUGUGGUGAUUUUGCUCCAAUGACUAGUAUCAGCUGUGAAGAAUGGAAUUGUAAUUGUAUAUUUUAAACUGUAAAGGCUACAUUCAUAUAAUACCUCAUUUGAAGAUUUUGAAAAAUAUUUGCUACCACACAAAGAGGAUGAAAAUGGGAACUGGAAAAUAGUCUCCAUCAAUUAAAUCUGGUAAAUAGUUGUAUGCUUUUAUAUAGUGGACAUUUUCAGAAUUAAGUUGAUAAAAUGCCCCCAGCAUGGAAAACAUGAUAGCCAUUGCUAGCUAUGGUAUACAGGAAUGACUUUCUCUGUAUUUCUUCAAUGUCAAAUGUUAUUUGAAUUUAAAAUUUUGCUUUAAAUAAGCUUGAUAUGGAUAUCAAAUAAGCAAAUGUAAAUGUAUCUGAGACUCCAGUCUGUCUUUGUUUAGAAAAACUAGCUAUUUCCCGCCUAUAUUUUAUAAUUAUCACUAAUGUCAGUUACACAACCAGGAUGAGAACUAGACAAACACACAAAUGUGCAGUUCAGUUAAACUUCACAAUAUUAUCACAUUGCAAUUCAAUCAUGACACCAGUGUUCUUUUGCAAACUUAACACAUACACACAAACACACACACACACUCAGAAACAUAUAGGCACAUAUUGCGUUAAAAUUGUAUUGAAAAGAAAUACCAUGUUUUUAGCAAAACCAGGAAUCCAAAUACUAUUUACUUCAUUUAAGACAUAUUUUACGUCAACCUAUUGAACCUCUCCAUCACCCAAGCUACUCGUUCAUAACGGAAGCAGG
rnacentral:lncRNA from 1 species